GAAAGUAAUUAAGGGCGAAUGGGGGAUGCCUAGGCUCUUGGAGGCGAAGAAGGACGUGGUAAGCUGCGAAAAGCUGCGGGGAUUUGCAAACGAGAUUUGAUCCGCAGAUAUCCGAAUGGGACAACCCGGCUGGCAGGAGGCCAGUCACACCGUAAGGUGGGCUAACCCUCUGAACUGAAACAUCUAAGUAGGAGGAGGAGAAGAAAGAAACAUCGAUUUCCUGAGUAGCGGCGAGCGAAAGGGAAGAAGCCUAAACCGACGUUGUUACGGCAAUGUCGGGGUUGUAGGACUGCGGGAUUCGAUACUAAGAGAACCGGAACGGUUUUGGAAAAGCCGGCCGAAGAGCAUGAAAGCUGCGUACGGGUAAUCGAGGUAAAGAAGGCAGUAUCCUGAGUAGGGCGGGACACGAGGAAUCCUGUCUGAAUCUGCCGGGACCACCCGGUAAGGCUAAAUACUACCAAGAGACCGAUAGUGAACCAGUACUGUGAAGGAAAGGUGAAAAGUACCCCGAACAGGGGAGUGAAAUAGAACCUGAAACCGUUCGCCUACAAUCGGUCGGAGCCACUUCGUGUGGUGACGUCGUGCCUUUUGCAUAAUGAGCCUACGAGUUACUGAUCACUAGCGAGGUUAAGUGGCGAUAGUCACGGAGCCGAAGCGAAAGCGAGUCUGAAUAGGGCGUAUAGUUAGUGGUCGUAGACGCGAAACCUUGCGAUCUACCCUUGGCCAAGAUGAAGUUCGGGUAACACCGAAUGGAGGUCUGCACCGAUAAGCGUUGAAAAGCUUCCGGAUGAGCUGAGGGUAGGGGUGAAAGGCUAAUCAAGCUGGGAAAUAGCUCGUACUCCCCGAAAUGCUUUUAGGAGCAGCGUUUUAAUAGUCUACUGGAGGUAGAGCUACUGAUUGGAUGCGGGGGCUUCACCGCCUACCAAAUCCUGACAAACUCCGAAUGCCAGUAGAAUGAUUUAGAGCAGUGAGCGGCUGGGUGCUAAUGUCCGGCCACGAGAGAGGAACAACUCAGACCAGCAGCUAAGGCCCCGAAGAGUAUACUAAGUUGAACUAACGAUGUGCGACUGCAGCGACAGCUAGGAUGUUAGCUUGGAAGCAGCUAUUCAUUUAAAGAGUGCGUAACAGCUCACUAGUCGAGCGGUUGUGCGUGGAUAAUAAACGGGCAUCAAGUAUACCGCCGAAGCUCUGGGAUCUACGGAUCGGUAGGGGAGCAUUCCAUUCGCGUCGAAGUUGUAGCGUGAGCUAUGGUGGAGCGUAUGGAAAAGCAAAUGUAGGCAUAAGUAACGAUAAGGCGGGCGAGAAACCCGCCCACCGCAAGACCAAGGUUUCCUGAUCAACGUUAAUCGGAUCAGGGUUAGUCGGGACCUAAGGAUAAGCCGAAAGGUGAUUUCGAUGGACAAUCGGUUAAUAUUCCGAUACUGAUAUGGACUGCGACGGAGAGACGAAGGGGCGUAAGCCACGCCAACUGACGGAAUAGUUGGUUAAAGGAUGUAGGUAAAUCGGGAGGUUAAGAGCUUUCUGAUGCUGAAAUCCGACAGUACCGCGAGCCUACGGGUGAGCGGAUAGUUGGCCCAAGCGGACUUCCGAGAAAAACUUCUAAGCUUCAGGUUCAUAUCACCCGUACCGUAAACCGACACAGGUGGUCGAGGAGAGUAUCCUAAGGUGCUCGAGUGAUUCACGGUUAAGGAACUAGGCAAAUUAACCCCGUAACUUCGGAAUAAGGGGUCCCAUUGAGAGAUGGGCGCAGCGAAGAGGUCCAGGCGACUGUUUAGCAAAAACACAGGGCUCUGCAAAUUCGAAAGAAGACGUAUAGGGCCUGACACCUGCCCGGUGCUGGAAGGUUAAGAGGGGAUGUCAUCGCAAGAGAAGCAUUGAAUCGAAGCCCCAGUAAACGGCGGCCGUAACUAUAACGGUCCUAAGGUAGCGAAAUUCCUUGUCGGGUAAGUUCCGACCUGCACGAAUGGUGUAACGA
rnacentral:rRNA from 1 species